UACAGAGGGAGCUAGCGUUGUUCGGAAAUACUGGGCGUAAAGCGCACGUAGGCGGCGCAGCAAGUCAGGGGUGAAAUCCCGGGGCUCAACCCCGGAACUGCCCUUGAAACUGCAGUGCUAGAAUCUUGGAGAGGCGAGUGGAAUUCCGAGUGUAGAGGUGAAAUUCGUAGAUAUUCGGAAGAACACCGGUGGCGAAGGCGGCAUCCUGGACCGGCAUUGACGCUGAAGAGCGAAAGCGUGGGGAGCGAACAGG
rnacentral:rRNA from 1 species